rnacentral:rRNA from 1 species
UGAACGACUCUCGGCAACGGAUAUCUCGGCUCUCGCAUCGAUGAAGAACGUAGCGAAAUGCGAUACUUGGUGUGAAUUGCAGAAUCCCGUGAACCAUCGAGUUUUUGAACGCAAGUUGCGCCCGAGGCCACUCGGUCGAGGGCACGUCUGCCUGGGCGUCACGC